UCUGAAAUAGAGUCGAGUCCGGCUUAUGUCACGUGACCUAUAUAGAGAUUUAUCUAGUCAUAUCUUGCCAAUGUAUACAGUGAUUGCUGGAUAAAUAUAUAUACCGUUACACCUUUUGUUACAACUUAAAGUUUCACACUAUGAGCGAUCAUCAGGUGACGUAACGACAGGGCAGUUACGUUACGUCACAACAGGCGCAGUGGGUACGGGCAAUUCCUUUUCGGCUUAGCUUUGGUGGCUGUGUUAAUCCAUUUGGGUCGAUUGAAAGGUCAUCAGGACACACGGCAGCCUUGAUUUUAGUUAAAGCUACUGAUGAACACCUAUGGUAAAGUCGAAGUGAUCACACUAGGGUGGGGGAGGCAAUUGCUGCCCCUGACCUUCUCUCUCGUACGCUUAUUCUACCAGUGACACGGUGCUCUAGCUGAACUCUCUAUAAGUAGGCUGCACGCUUUCCUGUAUAAACAUUAAAACACAGAAAAACUAAAGUAUUAGUACUUUUGUAACCUGCAAGUUAAAGUGCUUGUGGUGACAUCUGGAUUAAACGGUUAAGCUGUAUUUAUAAACUUAUUUCUUGUUGUUUUCAUUUCUCCGAUACAUUUUAGUGAACUAUCUGGAUGUUACGUCGCUUAGAAACUAGUUUGA